AUGCAACCUCCCUUUUUUGCGUCGUGGUAUUCACAUGACAGAACUACUACAAUGAAGUUUCUUUCCUUCUUUUUCAUCCUCGUCUUGGCCGCUGUAGCCUCUGCUCAAGACCUCAGUCCCUCGUUGGCUCCAGCUCCUGGUCCUGAUACAGGAGCUGCUGGAUCUGUUGCGAAUUCAGUUGCUAUGAUCGGAGCAUCCAUCGUCCUCUCAAUGCUCGCCAUCUUCAAGCACUAA